AACUGAGUUUAGAUUGAUGAACACAACCAACAAAUGGCCCCUACCCACAAGGAGCUUCACCAUCUUGAGGAAGACUCUCUUACUUAUUCCAGCAAGGAGAAAAACAUAAAUGCCUGAGGCCUGCAGGAAUGGAGGGGAGCUUCACAUUCAGACUUUGUUAAAGCCAGGGAUACCCAGUGUUUUUUGGCACUUGGACAUUUCUAUAAUUAGUCUGUGCAAGUGUGCAUAACCUGCAGGCUAUGGUCUUACCCCUGAUGUUUCCCAGAUAUACCCAGACACCUACAAAGUCCUAGGAAGAUGUACUCAUCUCUAUUG